GUUUGACCUCAAAUCAGGUAGGAUUACCCGCUGAACUUAAGCAUAUCAAUAAGCGGAGGAAAAGAAACCAACAGGGAUUGCCUUAGUAACGGCGAGUGAAGCGGCAAAAGCUCAAAUUUGAAAUCUGGCACCUUCGGUGUCCGAGUUGUAAUUUGAAGAAGGUAACUUUGGAGUUGGCUCUUGUCUAUGUUCCUUGGAACAGGACGUCACAGAGGGUGAGAAUCCCGUGCGAUGAGAUGCCCAAUUCUAUGUAAAGUGCUUUCGAAGAGUCGAGUU
rnacentral:rRNA from 1 species